GAUACCAGCUGGCUGCAACUGUUUAUUAAAAACACAGCACUGUGCAAACACGAAAGUGGACGUAUACGGUGUGACGCCUGCCCGGUGCCGGAAGGUUAAUUGAUGGGGUUAGCGCAAGCGAAGCUCUUGAUCGAAGCCCCGGUAAACGGCGGCCGUAACUAUAACGGUCCUAAGGUAGCGAAAUUCCUUGUCGGGUAAGUUCCGACCUGCACGAAUGGCGUAAUGAUGGCCAGGCUGUCUCCACCCGAGACUCAGUGAAAUUGAACUCGCUGUGAAGAUGCAGUGUACCCGCGGCAAGACGGAAAGACCCCGUGAACCUUUACUAUAGCUUGACACUGAACAUUGAGCCUUGAUGUGUAGGAUAGGUGGGAGGCUUAGAAGUGUGGACGCCAGUCUGCAUGGAGCCGACCUUGAAAUACCACCCUUUAAUGUUUGAUGUUCUAACGUGGACCCGUAUCCGGGUUGCGGACAGUGUCUGGUGGGUAGUUUGACUGGGGCGGUCUCCUCCUAAAGAGUAACGGAGGAGCACGAAGGUUGGCUAAUCCUGGUCGGACAUCAGGAGGUUAGUGCAAUGGCAUAAGCCAGCUUGACUGCGAGCGUGACGGCGCGAGCAGGUGCGAAAGCAGGUCAUAGUGAUCCGGUGGUUCUGAAUGGAAGGGCCAUCGCUCAACGGAUAAAAGGUACUCCGGGGAUAACAGGCUGAUACCGCCCAAGAGUUCAUAUCGACGGCGGUGUUUGGCACCUCGAUGUCGGCUCAUCACAUCCUGGGGCUGAAGUAGGUCCCAAGGGUAUGGCUGUUCGCCAUUUAAAGUGGUACGCGAGCUGGGUUUAGAACGUCGUGAGACAGUUCGGUCCCUAUCUGCCGUGGGCGCUGGAGAACUGAGGGGGGCUGCUCCUAGUACGAGAGGACCGGAGUGGACGCAUCACUGGUGUUCGGGUUGUCAUGCCAAUGGCACUGCCCGGUAGCUAAAUGCGGAAGAGAUAAGUGCUGAAAGCAUCUAAGCACGAAACUUGCCCCGAGAUGAGUUCUCCCUGACUCCUUGAGAGUCCUGAAGGAACGUUGAAGACGACGACGUUGAUAGGCCGGGUGUGUAAGCGCAGCGAUGCGUUGAGCUAACCGGUACUAAUGAACCGUGAGGCUUAACCU
rnacentral:rRNA from 1 species